GCGCGUGCGCCGCGGCCCCGCCCGCCCCCCGGCCUGGUUCUGCGCUGCUCGGCUGAGAGCGUCUUUUCCUCGCUCUCUGGCGGCUUGCACGCGCCCUCCUUCCGGACCUCGGGAGUCGCGCAGCUCCCGGCCCGGUCUCCUCCCCGACUGCCUGGCUGCGGGGCCAUGGCGUGGCGGCGGCGGCCCGAGGCCGGCGUCGGGGUCCGCGGCGCGCUGGCGCUGCUGGCGCUGGCUGUGUGCGCGCCCGGGGCCCGGGGGCGGGCGUUCGAGUGGUAUUCGGCCGUGGUGAGCACCGAGUACGUCGACCCGUACACGAACCGCACCGUAUGGAGCGUCUCGGAGAGCGGCCGCUUCGGCGACAGCUCGCCCAAGGAGGGCGCGCAGGGCCUGGUGGGCGUCCCGCGCGCGGCGGAUCGCGACCCCGAGGGCUGCGCGCCAGAUACCCGCUUCCUCGUGCCCGCGCCCGGCGGCCGUGGAGCCGCGCCCUGGGUCGCCCUGGUGGCGCGCGGUGGCUGCACCUUCAAGGACAAGGUGCUGGUGGCUGCACGGAGGAACGCCUCGGCCGUGGUCCUCUACAACGAGGAGAGCCACGGGAACCUCACCGUGCCCAUGUCCCACGCGGGAACAGGAAAUAUAGUGGUCAUUAUGGUUAGCUACCCAAAAGGAAGAGAAAUUAUGGAUCUGGUGCAGAAAGGCAUUGCAGUCAAAAUGACCAUAGGAGUUGGCACCCGUCAUGUGCAGGAGUUCAUCAGUGGUCAGUCUGUGGUAUUUGUGGCCAUUGCCUUUAUCACCAUGAUGAUUAUCUCGUUAGCCUGGCUGAUAUUUUACUAUAUACAGCGUUUCCUAUACACUGGCUCACAGUUUGGAAGUCAGAGUCAUAGAAAAGAAGCUAAGAAAAUUAUUGGCCAACUUCCACUUCAUACUGUAAAGCAUGGAGAAAAGGGAGUCGACGUUGAUGCAGAAAACUGUGCAGUGUGUAUUGAGAAUUUUAAAGUGAAGGAUGUUAUCAGAAUUCUGCCAUGCAAGCAUAUUUUUCAUAGAAUAUGCAUUGACCCAUGGCUUUUGGAUCACCGCACGUGUCCAAUGUGUAAACUUGAUGUCAUCAAAGCCCUGGGAUAUUGGGGAGAGGUGGAGGAUGUGCAGGAGAUGCCCGCUCCAGAAUCUACCCCUGGGAGUGUUUUGGCUGCAAAUUUGAGUAUUACUCUACAAGAGGAGGACAGAAGCGAGGGGAACAAUUUACCGUCCUCUUCCACUAGUGAGUCUGCACUGCAGUGUGAUGCCGGCUUUAAAGAAGAUGCAGGUGAAGACACAGCCUUACUAGAAAUGGGCAGGAGCGACCUUGAACAUGGAAGGCCCGUCUCCUAGCACACAUCCUGGUGACCGCGUCAUGGACAGAGCAUUGACUUCAAUUAAAGGACUUUUUUUUUUUUUUUUUACUUCAGCACAUAGUUUGUAUAUUUGAAAAUAAUGUACAUUCUUUUACCUUUCAGGUUCUGAUUUGAUACACAAAGGGCUAAGAUAUUUUAUUCUUGAAGAGAUGUUUUGAUUAGUCUUAAUAUAUUUAUCUACUAAAAUAUAUCAUUUAUGAUAAACAGUAUGUUGUUUUGGACUAUUACAGAGGAGACCACUAGGAAGGCCCUCUAAAGGGGGUGGCAGGGGGAGGUUUUUCUGAAUACUACUAGACUAGCUACCACGGUACUGUACAAAUGGGAUUUUGUUUCUCAAGGAUGGCUUUAGACUGAGCAACUGAAUUUAGACUAGUGGAAGUGGAAUUGUAUAAUUCACUUCAGUUAUUGAUCACGAGUUUUCCUUGGAGGAAAGGCUUUUCUAGAGCAUUAAACUUAUAAAUGAGAUCUGAGAAAUCUACAGCUUUCUCAAACCUCCGUGUUAUUAUAUAGACUUUGAAACCUACGAACACCUUUUCAUUGUUCUCUCUUUGGAAUUAUAGGAAAAGCGUUAGGUGACUUUAGGAUUUGCAUUUUCCCUUUUUAAUCCCUAAUUGCUUGUGAUACCUUAAAGGAGAGGGAAAUUUGUCCAUUUUUUCUACAAAUGAAAAGCUAAGAUCCUUCAUCACACAUGAGCAGUAAGUUCUUCAUUGCCUUAAGGAAAUCGAGCAGGCAGAGUUUUUUGUAAAUGAUGACUGUAUUAGUUCCAACUGCAAUUUAAUCUUUACAAUUAAAAGGAUGGAGAACUUUGUUUCUGUUACAAUGUAAGCAGUUUACUUGAUUGAUUUAAAGAUCAUGAUCUCGUGUAAUCAUCUAUCCUUUUUAUUCUUGGCUGUUCUCACUUGUAGGUUGAAAGCGGCAGGUGAAUGUAAAGCUUUUGGAGACUGCACUCUUAAAUUUUAUAAAAUUAUUAAGUAAAAACGCACACUUUCUGCUCUCCUCUCACUUCUUGGAGGUGGAAGUUGAGGAGGUCGCAGGCAGCAUGUGAAAGAAGCAGUUUGACCAUGAACGUGAAGCACUGUUGUCAGCCGCCUGCCCAGGUGCUACUUCUGGGUUUCCCGCUAGAACACCACAAAGGGCAGGAGGAGAUGUGCAAAAACAGGGCACCUUGGACAGGUGAUUUGAAGAUACUACAACUAGAAACCGGAACUAGAAAACCCAGAGAAUUCAAGGUGUUUCUCCAGUGUCCAAGGUCUUCAACAAUCGGAAAAGGCCAGCGGCUUCUCGUAUCCUGCUGAAUUCAAUACAGAAUGCCUGCACUUCUAUAAACAAGUCCUGCACGUUAAUUAUUUUGUUACGGAUCAAGGACUGGAGAAAGACACACACAAGACGCACCAAACGAUUCUGAAAAAGAGAAAGCAAAUUUAGUGUACCCGUUUCCUUGGCAGGUAUUUAUAAAAUUUACAAAAAUCUCUGCUACUUACCUGCAUAUAUUUAUCCUUAAUUUGUUCACAAGUAGAGAUGCAAUUUGAUAUGUAAAGGUGAAUAAAUUCAGGAGGUAGAUCAACAGCUGUAGUGAGUCUGUUUCAGAAAGUUAAAAAGUUAGGGCUGUUACAAAACACUGUUACCCAUAAAAUAUAAAAUUCCUCUUUGGUCAUUUAGUCAAAAUUUCUGAUAGAUGAUCAGUUACCUACUUUUAAACAUACUUAUGCAAAUAAGCCUGAGUCACCCACUUUGUUAGUCAAUGGCACUUCAUUUUUUAAGUCUAUACUUAGCAUUACAUUACACAUGAAAGUUACUCAUAAUUUUGAACACCACAUUUCUGUGUUCUUGGUUGAAUCCUAAUUUGUAGUUAAUGGUCUUCAAGCUCUAGUAAGUAACGUUAACUAAACCUCAAUUAUAUGUAAGUGCUGUGCAAGGUGGUAGGUCCAAGAAAGUAUAAUUUUUAAUAAGUAUAAUUAAGGGCUAAAAUGAGGGGUUUGCAAAAAGCAGUGUAAAUGAAAAAACAGGAAAAGUCUUAAAAGGCCAAGUGGCCUAAAACUGAAACCUUGAAGUAUUUCUUAUAACCUAGCAAGUGAUGUGAGAAAAAGCUGGGAUCUGGGAUUAGUGUGGCACAUUCAGGAACAUGGUGGUAGAGAUCCGGAUGGAAUGUGACAGAAGGCACUGGUGGCACAUUAGUGUCUCCAAGAGGAAAGGUGGUAUUUUCCGGAAGAUUCUGUGGAAUAUUUUAAGGAAAACAAAAAGAUGGGAAUUCCAUGUUCAAAUAAAGGUAUGCUAUACAGUA